UACAUGUGGGGCAAGCGUUGUUCGGAAUUACUGGGCAUAAAGGGUGCGUAGGCGGUUUGUUAAGUCACUGGUGAAAGUUUUCGGCCCAACCGGAAAAUUGCCUGUGAUACUGGCGAACUUGAGUGCGUGAGGGGUGGGGGGAACGAGCAGUGUAGCGGUGAAAUGCGUAGAUAUUGCUCGGAAGGCCGGAGCCGAAGGGGCUCCACUGGUACGUAACUGACGCUGAGGCACGAAAGCGUGGGGAGCAAACAGG
rnacentral:rRNA from 1 species